AGCCCCGUAGUGUAGUGGUCAAACUUAUCUUUUAUUAAAAGAUGAGGACUAAGCAUUGAGGUCUCUGGAACCUCAGACCCCGGUUCGAAUCCGGGCGGGGCUA
rnacentral:tRNA from 1 species